GACCCACAUCUUUUUUUUUUUUAACCUCCUUUUUUUUCUUCUAUAAUGGAAAUGCUACUUUCAAAAGUAGUGUUCCUUGUCACCGGAGGAAUCAAGCAGCCACAGGACAGCUCCUUGAGCCUUGAUCACUUUAUCUGGAAAGCAGCUCUUAUCCCAAGACCUGCAAUGUACCACUCACUGUUCUCUCUGGCCGUGGAAGUGCUGUGCGGUCAUCUUUGUUUCCCUGAGUUCUUGUCCUCAUUUAGCUGACUUGUGAUGCUGUUUUCUGCUGUUUCCCAUCCUGCAUUGGAUGCCCCAAAGCAGCCUGUGAAAAUCCUUAAGUCCUCCAUGUCCCUUCCCUAAGUCAAACCUGACAUCUCGCUGGCCCUCUCUGAGACAGCCUGUGACUUCUUUCACAAAGCAGGUACCUUCACCCUACUACUGCUGAGUGCCCUGUGCUGCCUUCAUCUUCCUGUCUUGGUCAUAGUUAUAAAGCAGCCAGCAGACCAUACUCAGCCUUCCUUUAUGCAGUCAUCCUUCCAUCCCUGUGUUCAUUCCGUUGAUUCUUAUCAAAGUCAGUACCCUAGUGCAUUUGAUUAGCUCCUGUCCUCACCUUCUUUACAGUACCACCUGCACAAUCCACAGCCUUAUUAAUAGCUGAAGUGCUUGAAGGUCUCUAUCUCUACUUAGUUUACUCCUGUGGAGUCUGUUUCCUGGUCUAAUACCAUCUACCCUGUGCAAAGUGCAUUGUCCGGCCCUCUGGUGCUUACAAAUGAGCCAAGUAUAGGCAGUCCUCCUGUCUCUACUAGACUUCAGGAACUGCUGAUGUGUAACUGUGGUGGGCACAUCAACUUUAUCUUGGUUUUUCUAACUGGAUGUUUCUAGCCCCUCCUUUCUUACUCUCCCCUCUUCCUGUUUUGUGCCUCAUUCUUUCUACCUGUUCUCUGAACUUUGUUUCACUAACACUUUUCUUGUCUUUUCCUUUGUGUGUUUGGGAGGCGUGGGGGUAUGUUUAAUUGUCUUUCCUUCCUCUUCUCUCAUAUAAGUUGAUUUGGUUUGUAUCCAUAGCUUUAACUAUUAGUUUCUGUCUUAACUUUAAGCCAUUCUCAGGCUGCAGAGAUGACUCAGUGGUUAAGAGCACUGGUUGCUCUUCCAAAGGACCCAGGUUCAAUUCCCAGCACCCACAUGAUGGCUGACAGCUGUUUAUAACUCCAUUCCCAGCAUAUAUGACAUACUCUCUGGCCUCCCUGGGCAUCAGGCACAGAUGUGGUGCACAGGCACAGAUGCAGGCAAAGCACCCAUACUCAUAAAAUAAAUUAAAAAUUUAAAUAUACAUCUUAAAACAUUCUCAGACUACUCAGUACUGAGAUUUUUUGUUUGUUUUAUACUUAUUUGUUUGUUUAUUUGUUCAGUACCUUGCUACAUAACACAGAUUGGUCUCCAAGUCUGAGUCUUCCUGCCUCUGCCUCCCAAGUUGCAUAAAUAUAGGUGUUUGCCACCCUGCUAAGAUUUUACUGAAUUGUGAAUGUAACUUAAGUAGUAUGUAUAUUGCUAUAGCUAUUCAUGGGUGCUAAAGAAAAUUCUUUCUCUGGAGUGAAAUAUCUUACUAAGUAAACCCUUUGACCUUGCCCACUCAUAGUCCCUUGCUAGCACAGUCUUGCCACUCUCUUGUCCUUUUUGAAUGUUUGCUUUUUCUCUGGUCCAUCUGCUUUCACUAAGGAAGCCACUUCCGUAAGUCCCACUAACCUUGCACUCCCCCAGAAUCCCCACACGCCAGAGCCAAGGAUUCACUUCUGGAACCUCACAGUAGCCUCUCUGAAAUCCAGUUACUCUAGUUAUCUAAAAGAAAAUGUCUUUAUUUAUAAAUUGCACUAUCAAUCAGCAAGUAGAACUGACCCCAUGAAAUGAAGGCGAGGUUGAAAAAUGAAAAUCUAAUGCAGUAUUUAAACUUUAUGGCCCAGAUAGAUGUGAUGUUAAUUCAGGCACUAUUAACCCCACACAUCAGUAAUAAUCCUUUGGACAUAUAAAAAAAAUACUAGUUCUGUGAAUAGGAUCUGUAACAUGGCCUAUUGGAACUCUCUAGAGCCUAAUUAUUCCCAGUUCCAAAAAAACUUAUGGCUACUAUACAUCAAGCACUUUAGUCAUUAAAUCAAGAGCUGACUUAGCUGUUGGUUUUUUUUAAAUAGUUUUGUUUUAUAACAAUGAUACUGGCUCAUAUAUAAACAAUAAGGAAAGUUUUUAAAAAAUAAAGAGGAUGGAGAAAAAAAAGUUUAGUAGGUAAGAACAUUAGCUUUUCGAGUAUGAGUUUGCAAGCCUGAGUUUGAAUCCCCAACACCCAUUCAAAACAAAAACAAUAACAAAAACAUGUAAAUAUGCGUAUGCCUAUAGUUUCAGCACUGGGGACAGGGACCAGCAGACCCCAGGAGCUUGCUGGCUGACUGGUCUAAUGGUGGGGUUCUGGUUCAGUGAGACCCUGUCUCAACUUGAGACAGUGAUAUAGGAAAACACCUGACUGUCGUUCAGGAAUCCACAUAUGCACUCACAGGCAUGCCCACAUACGCACUCACAGGCAUGCCCACUUAUGCACUCACAGGCAUGCCCACUUCACGGGCAUGCCCUAAUACUUAUAUCUGUGCAUAUACUACACAC
rnacentral:lncRNA from 1 species